rnacentral:rRNA from 1 species
GACGAACGCUGGCGGCGUGCUUAACACAUGCAAGUCGAACGCUGAAGCUCAGCUUUUGUUGGGUGGAUGAGUGGCGAACGGGUGAGUAACACGUGAGUAACCUGCCCCCUUCUUUGGGAUAACGCCCGGAAACGGGUGCUAAUACUGGAUAUUCACUGUUCUUCGCAUGGGGGUUGGUGGAAAGGGUUUUUCUGGUGGGGGAUGGGCUCGCGGCCUAUCAGCUUGUUGGUGGGGUGAUGGCCUACCAAGGCUUUGACGGGUAGCCGGCCUGAGAGGGUGAACGGUAAGAGUGGGACUGAGAUAAGGCCGAGAGUAAUACGGGAGGGAGAAGUGGGGAAUAUUGCACAAUGGGCGAAAGACUGAUGCAGCGACGCGGCGUGAGGGAUGGAGGCCUUAGGGUUGUGAAACUAUUUAGAUAAUGGUGAAGCCGCAACAAUGGUUGUGGUGAGGGUAGUGGGUAAAGAAGCGCCGGCUAACUACGUG